GGUUAAGUUAGAAAGGGCGCACGGUGGAUGCCUUGACACUAGGAGUCGAUGAAGGACGGGACUAACGCCGAUAUGCUUCGGGGAGCUGUAAGUAAGCUUUGAUCCGAAGAUUUCCGAAUGGGGAAACCCACCAUACGUAAUGGUAUGGUAUCCUUAUCUGAAUACAUAGGGUAAGGAAGACAGACCCAGGGAACUGAAACAUCUAAGUACCUGGAGGAAGAGAAAGCAAAUGCGAUUUCCUGAGUAGCGGCGAGCGAAACGGAACAUAGCCCAAACCAAGAGGCUUGCCUCUUGGGGUUGUAGGACAUUCUAUACGGAGUUACAAAGGAACGAGGUAGACGAAGCGACCUGGAAAGGUCCGUCGUAGAGGGUAACAACCCCGUAGUCGAAACUUCGUUCUCUCUUGAAUGUAUCCUGAGUACGGCGGAACACGUGAAAUUCCGUCGGAAUCUGGGAGGACCAUCUCCCAAGGCUAAAUACUCCCUAGUGAUCGAUAGUGAACCAGUACCGUGAGGGAAAGGUGAAAAGCACCCCGGAAGGGGAGUGAAAGAGAUCCUGAAACCGUGUGCCUACAAAUAGUCAGAGCCCGUUAACGGGUGAUGGCGUGCCUUUUGUAGAAUGAACCGGCGAGUUACGAUCCCGUGCGAGGUUAAGCUGAAGAGGCGGAGCCGCAGCGAAAGCGAGUCUGAAUAGGGCGUUUAGUACGUGGUCGUAGACCCGAAACCAGGCGAUCUACCCAUGUCCAGGGUGAAGUUCAGGUAACACUGAAUGGAGGCCCGAACCCACGCACGUUGAAAAGUGCGGGGAUGAGGUGUGGGUAGCGGAGAAAUUCCAAUCGAACCUGGAGAUAGCUGGUUCUCCCCGAAAUAGCUUUAGGGCUAGCCUUAAGUGUAAGAGUCUUGGAGGUAGAGCACUGAUUGGACUAGGGGUCCUCAUCGGAUUACCGAAUUCAGUCAAACUCCGAAUGCCAAUGACUUAUCCUUAGGAGUCAGACUGCGAGUGAUAAGAUCCGUAGUCAAAAGGGAAACAGCCCAGACCGCCAGCUAAGGUCCCAAAGUGUGUAUUAAGUGGAAAAGGAUGUGGAGUUGCUUAGACAACUAGGAUGUUGGCUUAGAAGCAGCCACCAUUUAAAGAGUGCGUAAUAGCUCACUAGUCGAGUGACUCUGCGCCGAAAAUGUACCGGGGCUAAAUACACCACCGAAGCUGCGGAUUGAUACCAAUGGUAUCAGUGGUAGGGGAGCGUUCUAAGGACAGUGAAGUCAGACCGGAAGGACUGGUGGAGUGCUUAGAAGUGAGAAUGCCGGUAUGAGUAGCGAAAGACGGGUGAGAAUCCCGUCCACCGAAUGCCUAAGGUUUCCUGAGGAAGGCUCGUCCGCUCAGGGUUAGUCAGGACCUAAGCCGAGGCCGACAGGCGUAGGCGAUGGACAACAGGUUGAUAUUCCUGUACCACCUCUUUAUCGUUUGAGCAAUGGAGGGACGCAGAAGGAUAGAAGAAGCGUGCGAUUGGUUGUGCACGUCCAAGCAGUUAGGCUGAUAAGUAGGCAAAUCCGCUUAUCGUAAAGGCUGAGCUGUGAUGGGAAGCUCCUUAUGGAGCGAAGUCUUUGAUUCCCCGCUGCCAAGAAAAGCUUCUAGCGAGAUAAAAGGUGCCUGUACCGCAAACCGACACAGGUAGGCGAGGAGAGAAUCCUAAGGUGUGCGAGAGAACUCUGGUUAAGGAACUCGGCAAAAUGACCCCGUAACUUCGGGAGAAGGGGUGCUUUCUUAACGGAAAGCCGCAGUGAAUAGGCCCAAGCGACUGUUUAGCAAAAACACAGCUCUCUGCGAAGCCGUAAGGCGAAGUAUAGGGGUGACACCUGCCCGGUGCUGGAAGGUUAAGGAGAGGGGUUAGCGUAAGCGAAGCUCUGAACUGAAGCCCCAGUAAACGGCGGCCGUAACUAUAACGGUCCUAAGGUAGCGAAAUUCCUUGUCGGGUAAGUUCCGACCCGCACGAAAGGUGUAACGAUUUGGGCACUGUCUCAACCAGAGACUCGGUGAAAUUAUAGUACCUGUGAAGAUGCAGGUUACCCGCGACAGGACGGAAAGACCCCGUGGAGCUUUACUGUAGCCUGAUAUUGAAUUUUGGUACAGUUUGUACAGGAUAGGCGGGAGCCUUUGAAACCGGAGCGCUAGCUUCGGUGGAGGCGCUGGUGGGAUACCGCCCUGACUGUAUUGAAAUUCUAACCUACGGGUCUUAUCGACCCGGGAGACAGUGUCAGGUGGGCAGUUUGACUGGGGCGGUCGCCUCCUAAAGUGUAACGGAGGCGCCCAAAGGUUCCCUCAGAAUGGUUGGAAAUCAUUCGUAGAGUGCAAAGGCAUAAGGGAGCUUGACUGCGAGACCUACAAGUCGAGCAGGGACGAAAGUCGGGCUUAGUGAUCCGGUGGUUCCGCAUGGAAGGGCCAUCGCUCAACGGAUAAAAGCUACCCCGGGGAUAACAGGCUUAUCUCCCCAAGAGUCCACAUCGACGGGGAGGUUUGGCACCUCGAUGUCGGCUCAUCGCAUCCUGGGGCUGUAGUCGGUCCCAAGGGUUGGGCUGUUCGCCCAUUAAAGCGGUACGCGAGCUGGGUUCAGAACGUCGUGAGACAGUUCGGUCCCUAUCCGUCGUGGGCGUAGGAAAUUUGAGAGGAGCUGUCCUUAGUACGAGAGGACCGGGAUGGACGCACCGCUGGUGUACCAGUUGUUCUGCCAAGGGCAUAGCUGGGUAGCUAUGUGCGGAAGGGAUAAGUGCUGAAAGCAUCUAAGCAUGAAGCCCCCCUCAAGAUGAGAUUUCCCAUAGCGUAAGCUAGUAAGAUCCCUGAAAGAUGAUCAGGUUGAUAGGUUCGAGGUGGAAGCAUGGUGACAUGUGGAGCUGACGAAUACUAAUAGAUCGAGGACUUAACCAU
rnacentral:rRNA from 1 species